rnacentral:rRNA from 1 species
AUUGAACGCUGGCGGCAUGCUUUACACAUGCAAGUCGGACGAGUGGCGAACGUGUGAGUAACGCAUCGGAACGUCCCGAGUAAUGGGGGAUAACUGUCCGAAAGGACAGCUAAUACCGCAUAUUAUUCGAGCGGCCGAUGUCUGAUGAGCUGGUUGGCGAGGUAAAGGCUCACCAAGGCGACGAGCAGUAGCGGGUCUGAGAGGAUGAUCCGCCACACUGGGACUGAGACACGGCCCAGACUCCUACGGGAGGCAGCAGUGGGGAAUCUUGGACAAUGGGCGCAAGCCUGAUCCAGCCAUGCCGCGUGUGUGAAGAAGGCCUUCGGGUUGUAAAGGACUGUUGUCAGGGAAGCGGUACCUGAAGAAUAAGCACCGGCUAACUACGUGCCAGCAGCCGCGGUAAUUC